AAACAACCUGCAUAUUCAGCACAUGUAUCCCAGAACUUACAGUGGAAAAAAAAAAAAAUACAAAAAAAGAACAUACAUCAUUCCUUAAGAGUAACUAUAGCCUUUAUGUAAAAUGAGUUCUCUUUAAUUCAGUGUAGCAGUGUAGUCCUUGAAUUUUUUUAUUGCCUUAAAUACUGAGGGUGAGUUUUAUUUACUAUUUAUUACCCAUUUAUUUUCUUGUAUUAGGUUCAAUUCAUUCAUUGAUAUUAUUUGACUGGCCCUGUAGGCAUUUUAUUCUGCAAACACUUAUGACAAGGCUGAUCAAUUUGCAGACCAGCCAAAUAUCUGCAGGAUGCCUACGGUUCCCCUCGUAUCUCACAGGCUGCAUUCUUUGGAAUAUUCUGUGUGCAUGAAGCGAAUUAAUAUAAGACGAGAAAAUCGGCUCUGUAUUUAAAACAUAAAAUAGAUUGUUAACGGGAAACUUUUGUUAGAUGAAUGCAUUUUAAGAAGGGUAGCCAAAAUCUGUGAAAAUUAUUAUAUAACACACAUAAUUUUUAGAAAAUAAUAUUUAAUAACUGAACUAGCUUUUGAAAACAUUUUAAGGAGGUAACAUGCAAAUAAAGUAGUUGAGGGAAAAAAUAACUGUGGCAAUUCUUUAACAAAAGCUUUGUUUUGUUUUUAGUAAAUAUACAUCUGGCUAUUCAGAAUUUUAAAAUAGGAAUGGUAAAAAAUUUCUUGUAGUUCAUUAUUAUCUUUUCAUUGUUUCUUAUGACACAUCUCAUUUUCUACCUUUAUUAAAGGUACAUGAAUCUCUUUCAUUUCCCCUGUAAAACUGUAAACUUCUUGUGGAGAAGAGUCACGUCUUUUUCAUCUUCUUGUGUGUCCCACCCCAGGACUUUAAUUAGUAAUCUAGCACAUGGUAAACACACGUAAAUGUUUGAAGAAAAUAAAUUUCAUAAAAAUAAAAGAUGUUUUCGUUUUUUUCAGGCAAAGCACUGGCAUAUUGAAAACUACCUUUUCCUUCCUAAAAGAGAUACUAAUUUAGUGGAAAGUGAUAUUCAAAAGGAAAUUUCUUUAUUUUCUAAGGAGGAAUCUUGUUUAGACCCAACAGAACAUUCUCUACUUAACAAGAAAAACAAAGAUGACUCAACAUACAAUGUCAGACCAUCAGAAGAUAUAAAUUUAGGCAUAAAAUAUAAGGAAAGAAGUACCUGCAUGAAAGAAACACAAAAACCUUAUUAUGGUGAAGUUAUAAAAAAAUCAUUCACUUUGAAAGCUGUAUUUGAUGAGAAAAACCUGUUUCCCAAGGAAAUUCUGGAUCAUGAACGAAAAGCCAAGCAAUUACGCCAAGAAAAAAGUUGUGAAGUGAAGAAAAAUAAGAAGUAAUUAUAAUAGAAAAAACUUCAUCGUCACGUAAAGUACAUAUAUAAAAUGCAGAAAAAGCAUCAAGAAUUCUGCCUUUUAUUUUAUAUUUGAACUUCAGGAAGUUUUGUCUUCAUGGGAUAAUUUAGUACUGCUCUUAUCCAUCAUCUUUCAAUUUCUCUGUAUUCUUAAUAAAAUAAAUAUUGAGCUAAAGUUGGAGCAUCAUCUUGGUAUUUAUUCUCAAGAAUUUUUAUAUAAAAAAUUUACGAUUGCAGAACAAAGUUCUAACGAGUUGCCCUUCUGGUUGUUCCUAUAGACAAAUAUUUUUGAUCAAUUUUCAUUGUAAAACCUGCAUUGAAAUAUAUGAAAAGUACUGAUACAGUAAAUAUCUACAAAUGUGAAUAAGAAAACUGUUUCCACUUUUUUACACUUUCUAGUGCUUUUUAAAUAAUUCUCAUAAUGGUAAUCAGACCUUGUCAAUAGCACCACUUCUUGUUAGUUCCUAUUGGCUUUUAUUCAUUCUAUAAGCUUAUUGGGAAAUUACUGCAUAUGAUCUACUUCAAUAGUUCAUUAUACUGUACUUUAAAAUUGAAUGUCUGCACAUUGUGCACAUGUACCCUAGAACUUAAAGUAUAAUAAAAAAAAUUGAAUAUCAUAGCACAUCAAAGAGGUAAUAGUCUUGAAAAAAAAUCAAAGGGCCUGGGGUUAUAUAAAUGACCCACUUUAUGUGGAAAGUCAAGUGGGAAAUAUUUGGUUCUGCAACUUACUGCCUCUGUUUGUUGACCCAUUUUUAUUUAUAAAUAUAAUCAUGUUCCAGGCAACUAAUAUUAUUAUUCUGCUUUAUUUAUUGUGUCCUAUAGAAAGAAUUGGUAAAUUCAUUUACAUAACUAUAAUGACUUACUGUAUAUUUAUAUUUUAAAGAGUCCUUUCAAAACAAGCUGUAGUCUAAGAAGAAUUUUUCAAUAAUACAUGUAGUAAAGGAAAAUAAUUUGCAAUAUGUAGGGGACCACUUGGUAUAGCAACUGCAAAUGUCCAUUGUGUUUAAACCACACAAUAAUCAUAUGAAUAUAUUAGCUUAGAGCUAAAAUAUGAGAUAUGAAUCUAUUUGGAGAGAGCUCAAUUAUCAAUGGCAGAGUUGAGAUCGGAGCCCAGGUCUGUUUUACUCCCAAACCGUGGUAUUUGUCAUUUAUCAUUUGGUUCACUUGCUUCUUAAUAGUAUAAAGCCAUUGGAAUGAAUUCUAACAAUAGACUUUCCAGCACCAGUGGAACAAAUAUUUUUGUUUGGUGGAGAAGGCAGUGACGGAAAGAUUUUCAGAAGACAGCUGCCUAUUCUAACUACAUUGAAGUGCAUUCUGAGUUAGGCAUUACGACUGCUAUUCAUAUCACCUUCCCUCCUCAUGGAAUGAAAAUUACAUACAGGAAAGACUGUAGGAGAAAAGUAUAUUUGUCUCUGUGUGUGUGUGCAUGUGUGUUUGUUUGUCUGUUGGGUGGUGUGAUGAUGUAGGAGAGUGUCCUUGUUUUAGAAAAAUAUAAUAAUAGAAUGUUUAUGUAUGAUAGAAAUUAUGUUUUCAGCUUGCUAUAAAAUGAUUCAGAAAAUACUAAUUAUAUGUAUAUAUAAAAUGUAUAUAUAUACACACACAGGUAACACAUAUACAUAUCUAUAUUUACAUCUGUUUGUUGAUUG
rnacentral:lncRNA from 10 species